CAACACCCCAUGGCUGUCUGCCUGUUCCAUUGUCCCCCCAUAAAGCACAGGCCAGGGCUGAAACAAGGCCAGGGACUCAGCCAACUUGGUCUGAAUUCCCUGUUUCUAACAGUUAUGAAUAUCCUAAGAGCCUUUUCUACCCCUCUUUCCCAUUGGGAUUUGAGAAGAUGGUAGUGUUGGAGAGCUGCAACCAGCACUUGAGCCAGUUCAGCUGAGAAUCUGGAAAUCAAUAUGGGUCAAAUUUUGUUCAGGUCCAUUAGUAAUUGCUCUGUUGGAUGCUGUAUAGAAAUAAGGAUGUGCACUCAGCUGUGAGUCCCUGCUUUGGUUUGUGUUGGUCUUCUGAUAUCAAAGUGAUCAGUGCCUGCAUUUAAUCUUUAGCCUAAUAAUGGCAAAACAUUUGGCAUAUUUUAUAUAUUCAGGCCUCAGCUUUUGCCUUUGGUGAGAGGCAGUGCUUCCUGGAGAAGCAGAAUCCUUUGAGCAGCCCAGCGCAGUGCAUCGCUGCAGUCCGAGAGGGGAUGCAGAGCAGAGAUGGAACUGCAAAAGAAGCCUCAAUAAGAAAAAUAAUUAAACUAUAGCACAGUCCCUGGUCAUUACCCAAGCAAUAUCUGGCUGGAGUACUGGAGCCAUCAUGUCUACCUCUGUAAGAAAAAGCCACAGACAUUUUACACAUAUGGAAACUGCCCAUCAUGAAGAAACUCAGAAAGUUCUGCUGGGGUGUCAUGAGGGAGUGGAAAAAUUACCUUAAAACCAGUAGAAAGUAACUGAGCGUCAUCUCCUCGCUUUCUGGUUUGCUGAGCUAUCCCAGGGAAGAAGUGGUUCAUAGACUGACAGGAGGGGCUCUAAUUCUCUGCAGACUUGGGAAUUGCAGCCCAGGGAUGCUCAGCACUGUCAAGUGGGGUGCGGGUGGCCAUGGCACCACAGCAUGGAGAGAUGCAGGAGAGGGGGGACAUGGCCUGAGACAUGCUGGGAAUAGGCAUGAAACCACCACUCUGCUUUUGCUUAGGAUCUUAUGGCUCUCCCUGGUUUUAGCUGUAUGUACAGAAACAUUUGAAGGGCUUUUUCUUUGCAGCUGCCAGGAGAGCAUGAUACCAUGCUGGGACUCCUCAAAAUUCAUCCCCUAGCUACUAUACUGGGAAUUAUUGCUCCUACCUGCCAUCCCCCAGGGUGCAAAGACAGCACUGCUGGCAGCAGGGCGAGGGGCUGGAGGGGGGCACAGGCUGGAGCUGAUAGGCAUCAGCCCCUGCCAAAAAAAUACAACCCAAGAGCUUGCAGGGCUGGGGCUGCGGCGCCUGCACACUGGGGAAGCCAUACAUUUGUUUACUGCAAAUGUCUCCAUAGAAACUCCUUCUCUGGGGCUGAAGAUGUGGAUCUGAGCUGCAGUGGAACGAGCUUUCUGCCCCCAGCACACCUCCGUGAGCGGCCUCGGCAGUCUCCAUGGCAGAACUGUUUGGCAGGAAAUAAUUCAGACUAAUGUAUCCCCCUGCGCUCCUGAAAUUGUGUGGAAUUUAAAAUGCUAAAUGAACUAAAUCAUUGUAAGUGUGCAAGCACUGUAAUUGUGAAGAGAGGCAAAGUAUAAAGCCUGCCUGUUCCAAUGCUUUCCAGCUAUAAUUCUUGAAACCAUCUCGUUUCAAAACAGGCUGAGCUAGGAAGCAGAGAAACUGCACCAACAAAGAGCUGCUCCAGACUUUAAAAAGGCACCACAAACGCUUAGGACUUUCAAAGGACAGAAACAGCUGUAAUGAUUUAAUUCCUACACCAUCCUUGGACAAACAUAGUGUCCCAUGCUACCAGGAAGGUCCCAGCUGUUGACAUGAGCAUGAUAAAAGUGCCUUGCCACCUCCUGGCCUGUGAUUGAUGCAACCAACAAAUGAGAAAAUACAUAAAGUAAAAGAAAACAAAUGCAAAUUACCAAAAUAUCUAGAGAAGCAAAGCUGGUGACUAAACUGAGAGGUAACUUUUCAAGAGGCUGCACUGGGAAAGGGAAGAUGAAAUGUAUGAGAGCAGAAAAUUUGGUGAGCGCAGCCUCAGGUGUCAGAGGCUUUUAGAGGCUGCAAUGCCACAAUGGGAUAAUGAGAGAGAAGAAUGCAGAAGUUGAGGAUAGGGGAGGGAGCCAGCUGGCAUCCCAGGUAUUUAAGAAGCAGUAAGAGGAGGCACAGUCCAGUUCUCCCUUGGACUAGCUCCUUUAAAAAAAAAAAAAAAAGAAAAGAAAACAAUUAUGGCCCUGCACCAUGGCUUCUUCCUCCCAGGACAAGCCCUGGGGACAGGCAGUGUCCUUGGGGCAAGGGGCAAAGCCAAGGAGGAAGGUAACCCUCUUCCCUGGGUUACAUGGCCAGGCAGCUGCUGCAGCACUGGUGCCUCUCCACCCUCACCCUUCACAGGGGCUUGCACUGGGGAAACUGCCUUCCUGCUUUAGACCCCUGUAUUUCAUCAUCAGGAAAGAAAGAACGAGGGAGCUUGUAAUGCAAAAGCCCUUAAUAAGAGCUGUGCUCUUACACCAGGCUGCACUUGCAUGAUAGCUUUAAAGAUGCUACCAUGUGGCAGCCCUGAAGUGACCUUUUAAUUCUGCCUCCCUCUGUUUAAUUACUUUUUUUCACAUAUAUAUGUCUGGAUUGUAUCUGAAGUCUCUAUUGUCAUCCUCUCCCCUUCCAAUCCUCCUGUGCCUGACCCCCACCCACCCCCCAGUGCUGUCUGUCCUGGAGCUGGGAUUUUACUGUGCUGUGCAUGCCUGCAGACGCCCCUGAGGAGCCAGAGCCACCCAGCAGGAGAGGUCACACAAACACGAGCGCUCAGCUAAGAAUAAAGCAAUAAAUACUAAUUAGUUUUGGCCUUGCACCAGUGCCCACCAUAGAUCACAAGCUCGUCUUUCCUGCAGCCUGGAACAGGAGCUGGCCUGGGACAAACCUAACAGUCCUUCGCAGCAAACCUAACAGUCACCUCAUGGCAGUGGCAGUGCCCAAGCCCUGUCCUUCCACCUCAGCAGUCAUCUCCAAGGGUACCUCCUGCCUGCAAGUCCCUGGGCUGGUUGCUGGCAAGCUGUGGGCAGGAAGGAAGGCGGGAAGGUAAGAGGCAGGUAACAGCUUCUCCCUGCAGCCCCCAGAGCAGCUCCACCACCCUUGUUGCCACCACCCCCCUGCAAUGUCACCCGGGUCCCAAAUGCCCCUUGCCCAAGGGGACAGCAGCCCCCCACCGCUGUGUCCCUGGGGAGAUGCCAGGCAGAGGGAGCUGAGGAGAGAGGGACAGCUCAAGUGACACACUCUCCACCUAUGUUAGGUCACUCCUUGCCCCCACCUGGUGCUGGAAGCAUCACUAGCACAAGCGGGGCACCAGGCCCUGCUGCUCCUCAGGCACCAGUGGAUUUGGCAGGACGUGUUGAGGCCAUGGCAGGUGCCACUGUGAGCAGCUUGCUGGGUGUAGCACAGACAGUGGCUCUCGUGCUUGGCCCUUUGUCCCUGGCAGCUGCCUGCUUGGGUCAGGGGAGAUGGAUGUGUCUGCUUUUAUUUUGAUUCCUUGUGGUUCUGCUGCCUUUGGCUUUCACCUUGACCAACAAUGGGCCUGCAGGGCACAAAUAAAGCCCAGCUGGGCAUUAUUUUCCCCUUCUAUAGGUUAUAUGCCACCAGGCUUUUCCAGGCUGGUCUCAGGUGAUGUCCAUGUGUGAAUCUACACCCCUGGGAGAUGCCUCACUCACACCCCCCCUCCCGGGUUUCUUGUGGCACCCCUGGCAAAGCUGCCACAGGGGACAAGUUUCCCCUCUUCAUGAGCCACGUGGAUGUUGACAGCAUUACACACAACCUGUAUUGCAAAAACACGUAUUUGUGGGCCCAGCCUCCCUCUCGUCAGGUACUGAUGAGGUUUUCGUGUAGAGCUGCAGUGCCUUGUGUGGAAGAUGGUGCUGGGUUAGAUUUGGAUUAUUCCUGUUCUGCUGGUUUGUCUCUCAGUUGUGCUAACUCAUGUACGUCUUGGCUGUGCUUAUUGAGGGAGCCCCAUCAAGGACCCUUUCAAAACACAUCUGGCUGUUUGCUGGGAGCUGCAGCUUUGUCUGA